AUUGAACGCUGGCGGCAGGCCUAACACAUGCAAGUCGAACGAGUGGCGGACGGGUGAGUAAUGUCUGGGAAACUGCCCGAUGGAGGGGGAUCACUACUGGAAACGGUAGCUAAUACCGCAUACCAUCGGAUGUGCCCCGAGGGGAUUAGCUAGUAGGUGGGGUAAUGGCUCACCUAGGCGACGAUCCCUAGCUGGUCUGAGAGGAUGACCAGCCACACGGGAACUGAGACACGGUCCAGACUCCUACGGGAGGCAGCAGUGGGGAAUAUUGCACAAUGGGCGCAAGCCUGAUGCAGCCAUGCCGCGUGUAUGAAGAAGGCCUUCGGGUUGUAAAGUACUUUCAGCGAGGAGGCGUUACCCGCAGAAGAAGCACCGGCUAACUCCGUGCCAGCAGCCGCGGUAAUUC
rnacentral:rRNA from 1 species